rnacentral:rRNA from 1 species
UUAGAGGAAGUAAAAGUCGUAACAAGGUUUCCGUAGGUGAACCUGCGGAAGGAUCAUUACAGUAGUCAUCCGGGUUGCCGCAAGGCCUCCCGGGUAACCUACCACCCUUUGUUUAUUACACUUUGUUGCUUUGGCAGGCCUGCCCUCGGGCUGCUGGCUCCGGCCGGCGAGCGUCUGCCAGAGGACCUAAACUCUGUUUGUCUAUAAUGUCUGAGUACUAUAUAAUAGUUAAAACUUUCAACAACGGAUCUCUUGGUUCUGGCAUCGAUGAAGAACGCAGCGAAAUGCGAUAAGUAAUGUGAAUUGCAGAAUUCAGUGAAUCAUCGAAUCUUUGAACGCACAUUGCGCCCCCUGGUAUUCCGGGGGGCAUGCCUGUCCGAGCGUCAUUACAACCCUCAAGCUCAGCUUGGUGUUGGGCCCCGCCGCCCCGGCGGGCCCUAAAGUCAGUGGCGGUGCCGUCCGGCUCCGAGCGUAGUAAUUCUUCUCGCUCUGGAGGUCCGGUCGUGUGCUUGCCAGCAACCCCCAAUUUUUUUCAGGUUGACCUCGGAUCAGGUAGGGAUACCCGCUGAACUUAAGCAU